rnacentral:lncRNA from 1 species
CAACGUGUUUCGUGUUUCUUAGGGAUUUGAGCCAGAACGUGGCGAUGGUCUGUGCACCUCCAGCCCUCAACAUCUGCUGCGGGGCUACCACUUGCUUAGAGAACCGCUUAAUCAAGACUGGAAGAUUGAAAGGUCUGUGGGCUGAUGGAGUCAAAAAUCCUUCUACAGCUAAGUGGAGUCAUUGAACUUACCCUCAGCAGCAGGAACCAGGAGCCAGCAGCUGUGGCUGGCAGUAACCUGUUGCUUUUCUGCUCAGAGAAAUAAUGGGAACAAGGCUUUGGGUAAGUAGAAUUCUUCUACUGUGUUUAAAUUUGUUUAUAACUGUCUGUAUUGUGUUAGCACAAUUCCUCCCAGCCUGGGACGAGCUCCUCGGGAA